rnacentral:rRNA from 1 species
UACGUAGGGCGCAAGCGUUGUCCGGAAUUAUUGGGCGUAAAGAGCUCGUAGGCGGUUUGUCGCGUCUGCUGUGAAAACCUAAGGCUCAACCUUGGGCUUGCAGUGGGUACGGGCAGACUAGAGUGCGGUAGGGGGUGACUGGAAUUCCUGGUGUAGCGGUGGAAUGCGCAGAUAUCAGGAGGAACACCGAUGGGCGAAGGCAGGUCACUGGGCCGCAACUGACGCUGGAGGAGCG